rnacentral:rRNA from 1 species
UUAAUUGAAGAGUUUGAUCAUGGCUCAGAUUGAACGCUGGCGGCAGGCCUAACACAUGCAAGUCGAGCGGCAGCACAGAGGAACUUGUUCCUUGGGUGGCGAGCGGCGGACGGGUGAGUAAUGCCUGGGAAAUUGCCCGGUAGAGGGGGGAUAACCAUUGGAAACGAUGGCUAAUACCGCA